rnacentral:rRNA from 1 species
UACGUAGGGGGCGAGCGUUGUCCGGAUUUAUUGGGCGUAAAGAGCGUGUAGGCGGCCAUGUAGGUCCGUUGUGAAAACUCGAGGCUCAACCUCGAGACGCCGAUGGAAACCAUGUGGCUAGAGUCCGGGAGAGGAGAGUGGAAUUCCUGGUGUAGCGGUGAAAUGCGCAGAUAUCAGGAAGAACACCCGUGGCUAAGGCGGCUCUCUAGUACGGUACUGACGCUGAGACGCGAAAGCGUGGGGAGCGAACAGG